UACGUAGGUGGCGAGCGUUGUCCGGAUUUAUUGGGCUUAAAGGGUGCGUAGGCGGCUUUGUAAGUCAGUGGUGAAAUACUCCAGCUUAACUGGAGGGGUGCCAUUGAUACUGCGGAGCUUGAGUACAGAUGAGGUAGGCGGAAUUGACGGUGUAGCGGUGAAAUGCAUAGAUAUCAGGAGGAACACCGGUGGCGAAGGCGGUUCUCUGGGCAUGUCCUGACGCUGAGGAGCGAAAGUGUGGGGAGCGAACAGG
rnacentral:rRNA from 1 species